rnacentral:lncRNA from 1 species
CACACACACACACACACACACACACACACACACACACACACACACACACACGAGUUAAGAGAAUGGUUCUCCAAAAGGCAUUGGGGUGGAAGGCCAGGUAGGCUCUGAAGCAUACACCUACACCCUUCCCUCCGUGCCGUUCCUGUCCUCAAAGAAGAAAAACUUAAACAAAUAAAUAAACAAAAAAAGCAGCCAAGCAGGGCAGCCGCACCCAGCGUCCUGGCUGCGGCAGGAACAUUCCGUCUCGGAGCUCCAGUGGGUCUCUGUUUGUGCAGGCAGAGCUGUCUGACGCCAUUGCCCGCAAGCUGGCAUUUCUGUCCUGGAGCCUCAGCGCCAUGGCCCAACCCUCCUCCGGGGGCUGGGCCUUUCAGGACUACGUCUGCAGGCAUUGUGCUGGUAAGCUGACAGCGGGUCAGUACUGGGGUCGGCUGAACCCUUCGCCAUCCUAGAGAUGUCACUGCCCCUCACCCCUCAGAGUAGCAGAGAGCUUGGAGAAGCCCUGACAGCAUCCUGUACACAAGGAUGCGGGAGAUUCCUCAUCUUGACUGCAGCCUGCUCUCCCUUCGACAGAGAGAAGCAAAGACCUCGUGCCACAGGGCCCAGUGGAGACAAGGUGAUGCCUCAUGCGGGACUAAAGGAAGAGUGGACACACAACUGCCUGGGCUGGUGAUCACCUUCAUUAACACCAAAUCCUCUCAACUGGGAUCAGUGCGUGACCUAAUCCCAGCAUAUGCAAGAGGGACCCCUGUUUGGAGAUGAAGCCAUCGUGGAUGCAUUUAGCACAGAUGGAGCCGUAUUGAGGAAAUCAGGCCCCAGUCUGAUACACGUGGUUGUCUUUAUAGAAAGGAG